AGCUGGCCCAGAGUAAAUAUUUACACAUGCUUAGGUGGAAGAGAUUUUGCCAUCACAGUAAGAUCAUGGAGCAACUUUAUCCUUUUUACAAGGCUCUCCAGUAUUUACCCAUCUCCAAAGCUCUGAGUGUAGCUGUUGACGAAGUCCCUGAGGUUGGUCAGGAAAAUGAAGUUUCCUGUUGAUGACACUGACCCUGACAUCCAGGGUUCUGCAUCUCCAGACUCUACGAAUGCCAGUGUUUCAGGGCCAAUGAGAACAGAAACUGCUUUCGUUCUGCCCCAACACACAACAGAAACAGAAGAACUGAAACCUCAGCUGAGGCUUCUGCUCUCGCAUUUCAGUAUCUCUUAUGACGUGGAAGAGCUGAGCGAUGCUUCUAAGGAGACAGAACUUUUUGCCUUGGUUUCCCCAAAAUUUCAAAGCAUCUUCAUGGAACAACAGAGAAUGCAAACGUUUCCAGACUAUAAUGCUGGGAUAGCUAAAGUGGAAAAUUUGAAUUUGGCAGGACCUCGUAGGGCCUUGAAAAAGGGAGCCAACUGGACUUCCUUUAUAAAGAUUAAGCCAAAAUGUGAUCCUUGGCAAAAGAAGCUUUUGACCAAACUAAAAGAACGGAGAAGAAUAGAUGUAUUAAUGCAACUCCAAGCAAAGUUUUUGAAGAUUUCCAAUCCUGAGCGAGUAAUGCAAGUGCUCCAGGAUCAUGCUGCAAAGACAGUCUUGCUGGCUUCAUCUCAUCCAACAUGUGUGGCUUCCCAGGGCAACUAUGACCAAAUCUGGGAGACUAUUUAUAGCAACAUCAACCUCUACCAGAAUGAAAACACUAAGGAAGAUGACCUUUCAGUGCAACGAGAUGAAAAUGACCCAGCACUAAUAAAUCUUAGCCAGUGUGCUAAUAAGCCUGUGAAGCAGAAGAAAGAGACAGGGUA
ensembl:lncRNA